rnacentral:lncRNA from 1 species
CGGAACACAAAAGCUCGCGGACAAAUCGAACAAGAUUCUGCUAGAAUAACACCUACCAAAUCCUCUCAAAACAAAGAACUAAAACAAAGGUCUAAACCCAAAAUCACAGCAGCAGCAUAACUGCCGAAAACAAAACUAAAUAAAUUACCACUAACAUAAAAACAGCCCAGCCCCUCAAACAAUGAUGCUAGCAUAUUCCAACAAAAGUUCAACCAGCUGCACACUAGUCUGAACAAAUAGCAGGCAACAAGCUUCUUGUUGAUACCGAAACCACAAAUGAGAAUACCCCAGCGUCACAGUCAAAAACCACCUACAACACCAAUAAACAACCUGCAAUAGCAACAACCAAAAGGUAAUCCAUCAGAUAAACACAUAAUUCAAGUCCAUAUAGUAUGCUAAACAAAAUUAAAGUUCAAGUCUAUAACAAACAUGAGCAUGUUGGAUACAUCAUUAUAAUCAUUCCAAAUUGGACUUGGGUCUGAAUCUUGAAGCAGUUGAAAUAGUAAGUCCAUUUUUUACUGAAUCUAACCAUAAUAACACAGUGCACUUAAAAUAACAACAUUAAACUGAAAAAGCUGUUGUGUAGUAAAUAAAAGGGUAUAACACACUUAAAUUAGCUUCCUAAACCUGAAAUAUAUCAUAGAACAAAACUAAUUUAACAAAAUAAUGUAUAUACUUAGGCCGAUCAAUUCACUGCUAGAAUCAAGAGUUUAUCAAUUUUUCAUAGUUAACUUGAACUCACACAAGCAAGUUAACUCAAAUACUUACGAAAAGAACAGAGUUUACAAGCAAUUUAACUCAUUUUCGUUUCAAGGCCUAAUAUUACCUUCCAAACACCUAGUUACAUGCCUCCCAUGAAAAAGUUGUUGUAAAACAGUUUUCUCAAAAGUUUGACUGAAACUGUAUUAAUUGUAGCCUUCAUAUUUUUGUGAUAAAGUUCUUCGCAUAAUGGGAUACAUUGUUUCUAUUUUCUAGUUUUCACACCCCAUGAUAAUAUAAAUAAAGCACCAUGCUUUCUCACAAACUAAACAAGCGAACAAUUAAGCAAAUUGAACCAUACAAACAGUUUUGUAGUCAAAUAUCAUUCAUUCCAUCAGACCCCAUUAUGAUACCAGAUGAUCUAUACCAAAAUCACAACUUACGGAAAAAAGGCAAAGACUCUACAACAUACCAAUAACUUUUCUGGCAGAAAAAAAAAAUGAAGGAUUUAUACCUUCAUGCAUUUUCUGAAUCCUCAUCAUCAUCACCAUC